AUAAAUGCACACUUGUAGAUGACUGGAUAAAGAAGGAUGUCCAGAGAUGUCAGAUAUGUCCUGAAAAGAAUUCUUCAACGUGUCCACCAGGAAACAUAGACAAGAACAUUCACAACAGUGUUGUCUGUAAACUAAAAAUCUGUAAACAAACCAAAUGUCUGCCUCCCACAGCUUGGACCAAUAACUCAGGUUAUAUUUCUGUAAUGGAAAGUAUAGACCAAUAAGACCGGAUUAGCUGCAUGUGCAUGCGUGCCAUGGAGAGAUCUCAAAAAAUACUGUGAGCAAAAGAAACACACCGAAGAAGUAAA